rnacentral:rRNA from 1 species
UACAGAGGGUGCGAGCGUUGUUCGGAAUUACUGGGCGUAAAGCGUGCGCAGGCGGUUUGUUAAGUCUGUUGUGAAAUCCCCGAGCUCAACUUGGGAAUUGCAAUGGAUACUGGCAGGCUGGAGUAUGGUAGAGGAAGGUGGAAUUCCCGGUGUAGCAGUGAAAUGCGUAGAGAUCGGGAGGAACACCAGUGGCGAAGGCGGCCUUCUGGACCAAUACUGACGCUCAUGCACGAAAGCGUGGGGAGCAAACAGG